rnacentral:piRNA from 1 species
UCCGGCGCGUGUCUGAGAAUAAGUGCAC